rnacentral:tRNA from 1 species
GUGGGUGUGGCAGAUUGGUAAUGCACUAGGUUGUGGCCCUAGGGGAGUAACAUCCCAAUGCGGGUUCAAUUCCCGUCACCCACC